AUGUUCGCUUUGGCACCAAAUAUAUUAAAAUUAGAAUGAUAGGGAGAUUACCAUGGCCCAUGUGCAAGGAUGGUAUACAAAUUCAUGAAACAUUCAUAUUUUUU
ensembl:snRNA U6 U6 spliceosomal RNA